GACCCAACUAUAGCACUGACUAAGGGCAAGUUAUUUUACCUCUCUGAGCCUCAUUUUCCUAUCUACAAAAAAAUCUACAAAAAAGCCACAGAAAUCACAGACGGAUGCAAAGAGCAAAGUUGGAAGGUCCCUUUGAGGUGCUGUAUUGCUUCCACCCAGGAUGAAAGAAGUGGGAAGUCUCCUCAGAGAAGUCUCAAGAAUCAUAGGCCAUGGUUCCAGGGGCUACAUCUUUUUCAAUUCAAGCCACUCAAGGCAGCUCCACUUGCCUGUGAUUGACAGAGAAGAAAGCAUACAACUCAGCUCUGGUUAAUAAAACCUAAGGAGAAGGACACUGUCUAGCUGACCAUUCUCACUUCCGACACUGACUACAAGUUUGGGGGUCUCAAGACCACCCUCAGUUUCAAUAAUUCGCUUUAAUUAUACCAGCCAUUUUAUGGUUUAUUACAGAGAAAGAACAUGGAUUGAAUCAGCCAAGGGAAGAAGUUCAAGAGAUACUGAGCUUGGAGUUUCCAGCUGUCCUCCUCCAGUGGACUCAUGCACAUGAUGCUCACCUCUCCCAGCAACCACAUGUGAUGACAAGCAUGGAGUGAUGCCAGCUAGGGGAGGCUCACUUGAAUCUUGGUAUCCAAGAGAUUUUAUUGGGGCUCAGUCAUAUAGACAUAACUGACCAACCCCAUGACUGACAUGAGUCUUCAGCCCCUCCAGAGGUGCAGCCACACAGCAAAGCCCAAGGCCGCCUACCAUAAAUCACAUUGGGGUUUUUUUUAUUUUAUUUAUUUAUUUUAAUUUAAAUUCAAUUAAUGAACCUUUAAUGUAGUAUUAAUUUCAGAGGUAGAGGUCAGUGAUUCAUGAGUUGAAUAUAAUACCCAGCGCUCAUUCCAUCCCAUGCCCUCCUUAAUGCCCAUCACCCAGUUACUCGAUGCCCCCAACCCCUCCCUUCAGUUUCUUUCCUAUGAUUAAGAGUCUCUGAUAGUUUGUCUCCUUCACUGAUCUCAUCUUGUUUUAU